UCUUCUUAGUGGCCGCUUUCUCAAUCGGAAAUGGCACAGCCAAGUAGUAAGCCUGAAGACGACAUCAAAACGGUAAAACCAGUGUUACAAUAUUUGCAAGUACUCGAAUAGUGAAUUUAUAAACUUUUUAUAAGGAUGAUAACCUGGAAGUGAAGGUGAUUGAUGGUGGCGAAUGCACCCAAGCUAUUAGGCAACUUAGAGCCUAAAUCCAAAAUCAACACAAAACCCACAUGUUAAAAAGACUCAAAUCAUGCAAAGAAACAUCUUCACCUUCAAAAAGAACAUAUUAUAAGCUAGGCAUUUAAUCAAACACCUGGCAGACAACAUUUUCUGAGACAAUUCCGACCGCAGCCACGUGCAACACCACCUUCCUCAGCCUCCUCCUUUUGAUAAUUCGAAAGAAUAGUAGGAACCCUCUUAAUCCUCAACAUCCUCUUCUUCAAAUCGUUGGUAAUUUAAACAAACAGCGAUCAAGCAAGCAGAUUUUGGCAGAUUAUGUUAUAACAAUAAUAAUAACAAUAAUAUUGGUACGUAUUCUAAGCCUAAUAUAACCUAAGCUACAAGAAAGAGAAAGAAGAUGGAACCACCGCCGGCGAGAAAGAGGAGGUCAGAAGGGCUACCGCCUUCGGACGGCAAAGCGCCGCGUCCGCCGUGCGUAGAAGGGUUGCUCUCAAUGGUUAUUGAACGACCCUUCUGGCGUACCGAUCGGACAUGUGCGAGUGGACGCGUUGCCCCGUGUAUAGCCGUGAUGUCUGCAACUUGUCGUUCCCGGGUUUUACCCCAAACCUGUGCUCUUUCUCCGGCGAGAAGGUUCGAUCUUUUUCUCUCUCUUUUUUCUGCGGUAACAGGUACCGUGAUUGCAAUAGUGGAAAAGGGGUGAUUUUGUA
rnacentral:lncRNA from 1 species